rnacentral:lncRNA from 1 species
UAGAGGUCCAUUCACUAUUAAAAGAGGUAUUGUAGGUGGCUGCUCCUGGGACUAUUCUCCCUUUUGUUCUAGCCAUCUCCUCCACUGUUUCUUCCACCAACUCUUCCACCGUCUCCUCCUCCUCCACCUGUACUGUCUCUUCUUCUUCCACCUGUACUGUCUCUUCCUCUUCCACCAUCUCCUCCUCUAAUGUGUUUACGUUCUCUGUAUUGGCAUGCUUAUUGAAAUGUACGAUUAGUAUCUCACUUUGUCAUGUCGAAGCAGAGGCAUCUCCACCUAGCCAUACAAAUAUAUACUAUACGCUCCUAAAUAUGUGAAGAGCUAUAUCACUUUAUGUAUUUAACAUUAAAAAUCAACUGAUUGUAAGUUGCAGCACAGCUAUAUAUUUACUGUCACUGUUAUGGGUCAUACUCUGCCAUACAUCUGUCUCUGUGUUGUGUGUCCCGCCCCAUCUAACUUAGUUUCAUUUCUCAGUAAACCUCAACACAAGGCUACUCCCUAUACAGGAAACGGAACAGAUCCUGCCACUCUCACACUGUUCUAGAAGCCUCAGGAAACAGAACAGAUCCUACCAUUCUCAGACUGUUCUAGAAGCCUCAAGGAACUUUAUGCUGCGCAAUUAUUUUGUCCCUCAGUAUUGUAAUGCUAUAUCACAUACUUAUGUCAAAGAGAAAGCGUGUUUUUUAGACACUUUGAACCUGUAUUUGUUUCAUCUGAUAGGUCCACUCUUUCAAGCCUUUAAACUGUUAAUAAUGCUAUUAAUACACUUGUUGGUCAUUGUGGGUAGGACAGUAAAGCAUUUAAAGACUACAACAUCCUAAUCCUAAUGAGUAAUGAGCAUAUACAGUAUAUUCACUUCACUUAUAUUUGACAUGACUUACAUUACUGAAAUCACGCAGGCUUUCUGCAGAGCCAUAGAGCUAGUAUGUUGCAGUUUGAAGUGUUUUUACUUGCCAUAAGAGUGUCUUCUGGGAGACAGAAACCUAGUGUGUGCAGUAGAAAGGAGUUCACAGACACACAAAAGGGUUUCCGUUACAGCUUUUGCUAUUUUUAUUCAUUUUUUUUUGUAAGGAAAUCAAGCGUACAGCAUAUCAAAAGAGUGCAAGCAGAAAGAAUGAGGCUCUAUGGCAUCUUCAACGCGAAGAACGUCUCCAUGGCCCUGUGUGAGGAACACAAAUUAGGUGUGGUUUUCUCAUCGACAAAUAAGAUACCUAGUGCAUCUCAAGACAUCGAAAAUAAUGCCAUUCAUUCCCUCGAAAAGCAUGAUGACGUUUUCCCUUAUUUUUAUUAUCAUUCCUGUGACUUGCAGGCUGAAGUUUUUCUUCGUUACGGUUUUUACAUGUAUUUGUAAAA